AGCAGCGUGGCUCAGUGGAAAGAGCACGGGCUUGGGAGUCAGAGGUCGUGGGUUCUAAUCCCAGCUCUGCCA
rfam:Ornithorhynchus anatinus chromosome X1, whole genome shotgun sequence.